ACGUCAUCCUAACAGCUCUCAGCAGAUAAUAGGCCAAACGAGUCUUUUUAAAACGAGAGGGGAUCGGUAUCAGUGGACUGCAGAUGUGUUUUCGGAAAAUGCCAUUUUAUUCCGCAGCUUUGUUAGAAGUUGACAGGGCUGUUUGGAGAGCCCCGCGCCGUUCCUAUUAUGCGUUGAGCUCGGCUGUCGUGUUUACACCUGCGUUCGUUCAGAGCCCCAUGUGCAGGUACAGCAUUUUCACUGGACGAUAGGUGUUUACCACUGGAGGUCGCUGGCGAAAAGGAAAAGAAGAGAGCAAAACCCACUGAAAGCACAUUCUUAGAAGAGGGAACUCCAGCCCUUACCAGACCUGAAAAAUCCCAGUCCAAGACAUUUUAUUGGAAGACCUGUGGGACUAACUGGAUUGGGACCCUCUAGGACUGGGGCUGGAGCCCUGACUGCCAUUCCAUAACCCAAAUCAGACUGGAAACUGAGACUUUUUAGAAUCCAUUUAGAAUUCAGAAACCUGUGAGAGUGAGUCCAUUUUAUUCUGAAGCAGCUGACAAACAGUGAUUCUCCAUGCUGUCUGAAAUGUGUGCGGUUUUAAAGGUGGAGCUCUUAUCAAAAGAUAAGUUUAUAAGAAGCAUGCAAAGGAGAGAAGACCUCUUUGGUUCAUUUUUAUUGGUUUGUGAUCUGACAGUUCAUCUUAGCAUCACAAUUUUCCCCGUUCAUUGUAUGACAAGUGAACACUUGAGACUUAAUACUACCGGCACACAUUUAAAAAACUCAUAUGUUCUGUGUGUCCUUGAAAGACUGCAAACCAAAAUAGUCCUGUACUGUUAAAUUAGCCAAGCCAUUAGUGCUACAUAUACACUACCCACUCUGUGAGUCUUACCUGAAACAUAUGGGCCAGCUACUUCUCAAACUCACACUGCUGUAAAAUGUUUUGAGAACAAAUCUUUAUUAAUGUAUGAACAGAUGUCCAUGCAUUAAGUAGUAAAAAAAUCUAUUCAUAUACAGUAAUAAUCAUUCAUUACACACAGGUGUUAAAUAGUGGUAAGUUGAAUGUUAAUUAUUGGAGCUGUUAGUAUGGAAGCCAUUUAUACUGUAAUUCAUCUGCAGUUCAGCAGAGUAACUGCAGAACCUGGAACUUUAGUUUUGGGAUGGACAUAUAAUUUCUGUUGCUAAUAAACGACAACUGAUGGUCCACAGUGAAGGUCUUACCAUGCAUGAAAAGAACUACAGUAUU